GACGAACGCUGGCGGCGUGCUUAACACAUGCAAGUCGAACGGAAAGGCCCUGCUUUUGUGGGGUGCUCGAGUGGCGAACGGGUGAGUAACACGUGAGUAACCUGCCCUUGACUUUGGGAUAACUUCAGGAAACUGGGGCUAAUACCGGAUAGGAGCUCCUGCUGCAUGGUGGGGGUUGGAAAGUUUCGGCGGUUGGGGAUGGACUCGCGGCUUAUCAGCUUGUUGGUGUGGUAGUGGCUGACCAAGGCUUUGACGGGUAGCCGGCCUGAGAGGGCGGCCGGCCACAUUGGGACUGAGAUACGGACCAGACUCCUACGGGAGGCAGCAGUGGGGAAUAUUGCACAAUGGGCGGAAGCCUGAUGCAGCAACGCCGCGUGCGGGAUGACGGCCUUCGGGUUGUAAACCGCUUUCGCCUGUGACGAAGCGUGAGUGACGGUAAUGGGUAAAGAAGCACCGGCUAACUACGUG
rnacentral:rRNA from 1 species